CAGCAGCCGCGGGAAUACGUAGGUGGCAAGCGUUGUCCGGAAUUAUUGGGCGUAAAGGGCUCGCAGGCGGUUUCUUAAGUCUGAUGUGAAAGCCCCCGGCUCAACCGGGGAGGGUCAUUGGAAACUGGGAAACUUGAGUGCAGAAGAGGAGAGUGGAAUUCCGCGUGUAGCGGUGAAAUGCGUAGAGAUGUGGAGGAACACCAGUGGCGAAGGCGACUCUCUGGUCUGUAACUGACGCUGAGGAGCGAAAGCGUGGGGAGCGAACAGGAUUAGAUACCCCAGUAGUCCCUGUCUCUUAUAA
rnacentral:rRNA from 1 species